UACGGAGGAUGCGAGCGUUAUCCGGAUUUAUUGGGUUUAAAGGGUGCGUAGGCAGAUUAAUAAGUCAGUGGUGAAAUCCUGCAGCUUAACUGUGGAACUGCCAUUGAUACUGUUAGUCUUGAGUAUGGUCAAGGUAGGCGGAAUGUGUAAUGUAGCGGUGAAAUGCUUAGAUAUUACACAGAACACCGAUUGCGAAGGCAGCUUACUGGGCCAUUACUGACGCUGAUGCACGAAAGCGUGGGGAUCGAACA
rnacentral:rRNA from 1 species